rnacentral:piRNA from 1 species
UCUGCUUACAAUAGGCAGACUGGUUCUUUC